AUUGAACGCUGGCGGCAGGCCUAACACAUGCAAGUCGCACGAGUGGCGGAUGGGUGAGUAAUGUCUGGGAAACUGCCUGAUGGAGGGGGAUAACUACUGGAAACGGUAGCUAAUACCGCAUACCCUCGUAUGUGCCCAGGUGGGAUUAGCUAGUAGAUGGGGUAACGGCUCUCCUAGGCGACGAUCCCUAGCUGAUCUGAGAGGAUGACCAGCCACACUGGAACUGAGACCCGGUCCAGACUCCUACGGGAUGCGGCGGUGGGGAAUAUUGCACAAUGGGCGCAAGCCUGAUGCAGCCAUGCCGCGUGUAUGAAGAAGGCCUUCGGGUUGUAAAGUACUUUCAGCGGGGAGGCGUUACCCGCAGAAGAAGCCCCGGCUAACUCCGUGCCAGCAGCCGCGGUAAUAC
rnacentral:rRNA from 1 species